rnacentral:rRNA from 1 species
UACGGAGGGUGCAAGCGUUAUCCGGAUUUACUGGGUUUAAAGGGCGCGUAGGUGGAUAAUUAAGUCAGUGGUGAAAUCUUCAGGCUUAACCUGGAAACUGCCAUUGAUACUAUUUAUCUUGAAUACUUUGGAGGUAAGCGGAAUAUGUCAUGUAGCGGUGAAAUGCUUAGAUAUGACAUAGAACACCAAUUGCGAAGGCAGCUUACUACACAGUAAUUGACACUGAGGCACGAAAGCGUGGGGAUCAAACAGG